AACGAACGCUGGCGGCAGGCUUAACACAUGCAAGUCGAACGCCCCGCAAGGGGAGUGGCAGACGGGGGAGUAACGCGUGGGAACAUACCCUUUCCUGCGGAAUAGCUCUGGGAAACUGGAAUUAAUACCGCAUACGCCCUACGGGGGAAAGAUUUAUCGGGGAAGGAUUGGCCCGCGUUGGAUUAGCUAGUUGGUGGGGUAAAGGCCUACCAAGGCGACGAUCCAUAGCUGGUCUGAGAGGAUGAUCAGCCACAUUGGGACUGAGACACGGCCCAAACUCCUACGGGAGGCAGCAGUGGGGAAUAUUGGACAAUGGGCGCAAGCCUGGUCCAGCCAUGCCGCGUGAGUGAUGAAGGCCUUAGGGUUGUAAAGCUCUUUCACCGAUGAAGAUAAUGACGGUAGUCGGAGAAGAAGCCCCGGCUAACUUCGUGCCAGCCGCCGCCGUAAUAC
rnacentral:rRNA from 1 species